rnacentral:misc_RNA from 1 species
UGUACGUUCAGGGUAUAAAAGGAUCUGAAUUCUCUGCUGCCUAAUGCUUCGCUGUUCGAAAGAUAUCUACGGUCCAAAGCUGCCAUGACUGCAAUCAAAUACUUUUCAUUUGUUUUGCUGAUCGUCUCUGCCCUGUUCAUACAUGCCACCGUACACUCAACCACCUCGGUGUAGCAGUGACAAGCGGUUGCCCGUCUGGCUGUUUAUGUGUCAUCAGCGCACCCGAUAGUGCAGUCAACGUAAACGGGACGUGCUAUCAACUA